rnacentral:misc_RNA from 1 species
AACUUUUGACAAUGGAUCUCUUGGCUCUCGCAACGAUGAAGAACGCAGCGAAUUGCGAUAAGUAAUGUGAAUUGCAGAAUUCAGUGAAUCAUCAAAUCUUUGAACGCACAUUGCGCUCCCUGGUAUUCCGGGGAGCAUGCCUGUUUGAGAAUCAAUAAAUCUCUCACCAUCCGGUCUGUUUGGCUAACGCUCAACAGAUUGGACGGUGGAUUUUAGUCCUUUGUGUUCUCACGAACACAAUGACUUUAAAUGUAAUGUCUGCAGCUUUCUCCUUGGUGAGGAAUUGCUUUGAGUGCAUGAACUGUUUUCAUUAACUAAGAAUUCACUCUCUUGAGCUUUCCUUAUUUUUUCAAGGGAUGACUGUCCGACUCAACCAUUACAUCCUUGGGGCAACCCAUCGAAUACUUGGUCUCAAAUCAGGUAGGAAAACCCGCUGAACUUAAGCAUAUCAAUAAGCGGAGGCU